UUAGAGUUUGAUCCUGGCUCAGGAUGAACGCUAGCGGCAGGCUUAACACAUGCAAGUCGAGGGGCAGCAUGUCCAGCAAUGGAUGAUGGCGACCGGCGGAAGGGUGCGUAACGCGUGAGCAACAUGCCCUAUACAGGGAGAUACACCAGGGAAACUUGGUCUAAUAUCCCAUAGCAUUCAUUGAAGGCAUCUUUAAUGAAUUAAAGCUUCGGUGGUAUAGGAUUGGCUCGCGUGACAUUAGCCAGAUGGUGAGGUAACGGCUCACCAUAGCAAUGAUGUCUAGGGGUUUUGAGAGGAAGGCCCCCCACACUGGGACUGAGACACGGCCCAGACUCCUACGGGAGGCAGCAGUGAGGAAUAUUGGACAAUGGAUGGAAAUCUGAUCCAGCCAUGCCGCGUGCAGGAAGACGGCCUUAUGGGUUGUAAACUGCUUUUAUACGGGAGCAAUAAGGGUUACGAGUAAUCCGAUGAGGGUACUGUAUGAAUAAGGAUCGGCUAACUCCGUGCCAGCAGCCGCGGUAAUACGGAGGAUCCGAGCGUUAUCCGGAAUUAUUGGGUUUAAAGGGUGCGUAGGCGGCCAUUUAAGUCAGCGGUGAAAUUUUGCAGCUUAACUGUAACAGUGCCGUUGAUACUGUUUGGCUAGGAUUUGGUUGUAGUGUGCGGAAUGUGUGGCGUAGCGGUGAAAUGCUUAGAUAUCACACAGAACACCGAUUGCGAAGGCAGCACACUAAGUCAUUAUUGACGCUGAGGCACGAAAGUGUGGGGAUCAAACAAGGUUAGAUACCCUGGUAGUCCACACUGUAAAC
rnacentral:rRNA from 1 species